AUGGCUUCAUUUGUAUCACUGUGGUGGACUUUUGGUGGAGGAACCAGACUGAAUGUUGGAAGUGAUACCCGUCCCAUCCUGACAGUGUUGUCCCCCUCCAGUGAGGAGCUACAGCAGGGGACUGCAACAAUCACAUGUCUGGCCAACAAGGGCUUCCCCUCAGACUGGACGCUGUCCUGGAAGGUGGAUGGCAGUGGCAGCAUCAGCUGGGAGGAGAGCAGGAGCCCCGUGGUGCUGCAGAAUGACGGCCUCUACAGCUGGAGCAGCACCCUGAGGCUCCCUGCAGACCGCUGGAUGAAGGUGGGCUCUGUGACCUGUGAGGCCACCCAGGGCUGCCAGACUCUGGUCUCAGAGCCACUGAGGAGAGUCCAGUGUUCCCAGUCCUGACCUGACUCAACCUGAUACUGGUUUAAUGCUCUCAUUCUCAACUCUGUAACUGUCUCCCCAUCUUUCUUUUUUAAGAACAAAUAAAGACUAAAACUGUUA